UAGUGGGGGGGAGAACCUUUUGUCUUUCCCCCCGCCCCACCAAUCGCCAUCACCCGCUUCAUCCACACUCUCACUUCGCUAACUGCCACUCCCUCAUGCAUAUCUCCCCUACCUCUACCUCCACCGCCACCGCCACCACCACCACCACCGCCGCCGCCUCAUCGCCGUCGUCGCUCUCUCUGCACCUCCCGCCGCAGCACUAGAGCCGCCGCCGCCGCCGCCGCCUCCUCCGCCGGAUUCGCUCUCCGGCCGCUGCCGCCGGUUCCGGUAGCGGCGGGCCGGCGGGACGGGAGAGGCGCUCGAGGAAGCAGCCUGGAGAUGGCCCCCGACGACGGCAGCGGGCGCCGGUGCCGCCGCCGCCGCCGCCGCCGCCGCUGUGGUCGCGGCCGACGCUCAGGCUCCGGUGAAGAAGAUGGCGGCGUUCUCUCGGAGCUGGAUCCUGGUGAACCGCGAGGGGCGGAGCAGCUUGCUGGAUGUGGACAAGUACGAAAUCAUGCGACGGGUGGGGAUCCACGCCCGGGACCUGCGCAUGCUGGAUCCCAUGCUGUCGCACCCUUCCAAGAUCAUAGGCAGAGAGAAGUUGAUUGUCCUCAACUUGGAGCACAUUAAAGCUAUCGUCACGGCAGAGGAGGUGUUACUUAGAGAUCCAUCAGACGAGAAUGUCAUUCCAAUCGUCAAGGAACUCGAGAGGCGGCUGCCGGGAAGCGGUCAGUUCCAAGGUGAAGAGGACGAGCAGCAAGAAGCGAACAACGACGCUGAUGUCGGGGAGCAAAAUGAAUUUCCUUUUGAAUUUCGGGCAUUAGAAGUUGCAUUGGAGGCUAUCUGUAGUUUCCUUGAUGCACUCACAAUAGAACUGGAGACUGAUGCUUAUCCAGCUUUGGAUGAGUUGACUUCAAAGAUUAGCAGUCGCAAUUUGGAUCGAGUGCGAAAAUUGAAGAGUGGUAUGACAAGAUUGACCAAUCGUGUUCAGAAGGUGAGAGAUGAACUGGAAGAACUUCUUGACGAUGAUGACGACAUGGCAGACCUUUAUUUGUCGAGGAAACUCACUGGAGGGUCUUCUCCUGUCAGCUGGUCUGGAGCUCCAGAUUGGUUCUUUGCCUCUCCUACAACUGGCUCAAAAUUAUCCAGAACAAGUAGGGCAAGUGCGGUAACAGCUCACGAGGAAAAUGAUGUUGAGGAGCUUGAAAUGUUGCUGGAGGCAUAUUUCAUGCAAAUUGAUGGCACUUUAAACAAAUUGUCAACGUUGCGCGAAUACAUUGAUGAUACUGAGGAUUACAUCAAUAUUCAGCUUGAUAAUCAUCGGAACCAGCUUAUACAGGUAGGAUUCACAAGAUACACAAAACUCCACUAGCUAGAGCUCUUCCUCAGUUCAGGAACUCUGUGCUUGUCUGUAUAUUCUCUGGUAGCAGCGAUAUUCGGCAUGAAUAUUCCCAACGUGUGGCAUGAAGGUCAUGGUUAUGUCUUCAAAUGGGUGGUCAUUCUCGCCGGAGUUUUGUCUGGAUCCAUUUUCCUGUCAAUAAUGUCCUAUGCUCGGCACAAAGGUCUGGUUGGUUCUUGAAGCCAAAUUGAUUCAUUCGGGAGGGAGGUUUCUGCAAAGCUUUGAAAUGUCUUCUCAGGCUACCGAAUUUAGGAUCCAUCCGAUGCGCCAGCUCUAGGACAUCAUGUGGACGACAUCACCCUAUUAGUUUCCCACAAAUUGUACCAACCCACGCCACCGAUGUCCACGAGAUGGAUGAGAUAGAAUGGACGCAUAUCUCCCGGUCAAACUCACCAUUCCCUGCAUGUGGUUAGAAACUAGCUGCCAUUGAAAAGUCCAAAGUAGCAAUUGGGGUCAAUUCUAGUGAAGACGAGUCGUUGAUGUUGUGCAAUAUUUGUAACGCAGGGAAUACCUGUUAUAAUGAAAUUGAUUUUUUCCCUUGAA